AUAGAAUGAUCAUGGUUAUAUGACAAGCAGAAUUCAAAUCCACAUCCUUUUGGCUCCAGAACUCUGUCUUUGGAGAAACAAAAAAAUGUUUAUAUCCUCUGCUUGAAGUUUCCCCUCACAUGAGGAAGUAUAUUCUGUCUACAGCCAAACAUGAUAAUUUUGAGAAGGAAGGGGAGAAGAAAGAAGAGGAUCAUAAUGAUGACAUCUUUUCACAAUCAGGAUUCAUAUUUCUCUGGUGUCACUGUAAUCAUCAGACUGAGAGACCAGAAAUGGAGGAAUGGUGUUCUAUUCCUAGUUGGUCACAUUGGAUCAACCCCAGUUUCAGGACAGAAGUAACUAUAAUGGAGAAUGACAGAUCAUAUAUUUCAUCCAAGAAAGCAGCAUUCACCUCAGAUUCCCUGCACUGGGCUCCUUGAGAAUGUAUUUAAGUUUCUUUUUUUUUUCUUUUGAGAAAGUCACCAACUUUGAAAUUAGUGUCCUUUUAUGGGUCUUGUCACAUAAAGUGCAUCGUGCUUGAAUUCCAAACUCGUGUCAUGCUUUGGUG